GUGUCAGCAGCCGCGGUAAAACCAGCACCUCAAGUGGUCAGGAGGAUUAUUGGGCCUAAAGCAUCCGUAGCCUGCUCUGUAAGUUUCCGGUUAAAUCCAUUAGCUUAACUGAUGGGCCGCCGGAAAAACUGCAGAGCUAGGGAGUGGGAGAGGUAGACGGUACUCGGUAGGAAGGGGUAAAAUCCUUUGAUCUAUUGAUGACCACCAGUGGCGAAGGCGGUCUACCAGAACACGUUCGACGGUGAGGGAUGAAAGCUGGGGGAGCAAACCGGAUUAGAUACCCGGGUAGUCCCAGCUGUAAACGAUGCAGACUCGGUGAUGCCCUGGCUUGUGGCCAGUGCAGUGCCGCAGGGAAGCCGUUAAGUUUGCCGCCUGGGAAGUACGUACGCAAGUAUGAAACUUAAAGGAAUUGGCGGGGGAGCACCACAAGGGGUGAAGCCUGCGGUUCAAUUGGAGUCAACGCCAGAAAUCUUACCCGAGGAGACAGCAGAAUGAAGGUCAAGCUGGAGACUUUACCAGACAAGCUGAGAAGUGGUGCAUGGCCGUCGCCAGCUCGUGCCGUGAGAUGUCCUGUUAAGUCAGGUAACGAGCGAGAUCCCUGCCUCUAGUUGCCACCAUUACUCUCAGGAGUAGUGGGGCGAAUUAGCGGGACCGCCACAGUUAAUGUGGAGGAAGGAAGGGGCCACGGCAGGUCAGUAUGCCCUGAAACCUUGGGGCCACACGCGGGCUGCAAUGAUAGUGACAAUGAGUUCCUAAACCGAAAGGUGGAGGCAAUCUUCAAACGCUAUCACAGUUAUGAUUGAGGGCUGCAACUCGCCCUCAUGAAUAUGGAAUCCCUAGUAACUGCGUGUCAUUACCGCGCGGUGAAUACGUCCCUGCUCCUUGCACACACCGCCCGUC
rnacentral:rRNA from 1 species